GUCUCCAGCCACACCACCCUGACCCUGCUCAUUCUCUUCUGAUCUCAGAAGCCAAGCAGAGUCAGGCCUGGUGAGUACUUGGGUGGGAGAGAGAACUCUAUGAUCUAAAGAAG
rnacentral:rRNA from 1 species